AGCUCACAGCUGCGUGGAGUAAGUUACAUUUACGGCAUUUACAUCCAGUGUCGUGACUUCAGUGCGGGGCAUUUCCAUAUGUACUAGAUAAGCUCCAUAUCUAUAGUGCAUACCGUGCUUUGUUUACCGCAUACGAAACCAGAGAACAAAUGUCAAGUAAUUUCCAACAUCUGGCACAAGAGCGCUAAGAUAUACAUAUACAUAUAGUUUAGGAGAGGAAAAAAAAAAAAAACAGAAACAAAAAUAACUACUCCUCGACAGAGCUCGGAAGGCAGCGAUGCUAUUUCCACCGUCGGAAGCUCAACCAACCUGAGAUCCCACGAUCCGCCGGAGCACCUACAUCAUGACACGAAACACCAGGAGAAAUUUUCUGGGCUAGUAGCUCAGAAGGAUGCUGCUGAGGAGCGAGAGGAGGAGAGACGAGAGGAGUCGAAGCCGGAAGAUCGCAGCUUUGCUUAUAGGAAGCCGGGUGCUGGAAACUUGCUGAAGGAGUUUUUGGGAAAGUAAGAAGCGUUUUCCGAGUGUAGGACUGUGCUAAGGGGGUUUGUUUUUUCCUUUCUUUCAGUCAUCUCUGCGUCGCGAGUGCUGAAGAAAGCGGUGAUAUCGAAGGAGGCCGGCAUGGAAUAAUGCGACUGUUGCAACGACGGAAAGAAGAUGUUGGCGAUGCAAUAACCAUUGUUUGAUGCUCUCUACCACCAAUUCAUGAUGUUGUUUUAAAAAGCUCUCUGCCACCCGAGUGUUCGGCCCAUUUUGAAUCUUGGGUUUUCAACUGGAUUGUUGGAUGACAGUGUAGGGAAACUUGAAGAGCGAGCUUUCGGUUCUCUUCUUCAAGCCAUAUCCGGAGUCAUUUUGUCGGCCUAGACUCGGUUCAUCUGACUCCGAACAGUCAGGGUAUUAUGAGUCCAGGACGAACAGGGGCAAGUGACAGUUCUGGUGGUCAGGGUUCCAGCUUAAAAACUUUGCGACAAGGAUGUGGUGUCAAGCAAUCACGCACACACCGACAUCGACGAAAUCGAAGACAUAAGUUAGUUGUAGCUAUGGUUGAAACUCGCACGGAGAGAGCCUCAGAAGCUCUUGACUUUGGGGACAUAAGUAAAGGUUGCCAAUUGGUCUAUCAUUCACAUCAUAUUCCG
rnacentral:sRNA from 2 species